rnacentral:sRNA from 1 species
GUCUAGCUGCAGAGGUCAGAGGAAGUCAUUGCUGUCCUGUCCCUCCUGAAGGUUUUCUGGACCAGUCUCCCAGUGAGGUGCUUGGUCUGAGAGGGCCUUGACCAUGCCCCUUGGGAAUCUUUCAGAUCCCCAGUCUUGGGUGUGCUGACUGACACACCCAGACCCAUGGGGCUUCAGCCUGACGUAGAUUCACUCUGUUCCAGUGAAGCUGGACCCACUCUGAGUUGCAGAGCUACAUCAGCUCUGGCCACUGCAUCCUGACCUAGAGCAUCAGUCCUGCCUUGGAGCUGAGAACCACACUUCUCAGCUAUGACCUGGCCUUCGAGAGGCAGGAAGAGGCCUGGGAGGGUGAAGAGAACCUUCUACUAGAACGUGCCCUCUCCAGCGGUGUUCUUCCAGCCCCUCUAUGGUGUGCACAAUGGGAACUUCCAG